rnacentral:rRNA from 1 species
UACACUCCUACGGGAGGCAGCAGUGGGGAAUAUUGGACAAUGGGCGCAAGCCUGAUCCAGCCAUGCCGCGUGAGUGAUGAAGGCCCUAGGGUUGUAAAGCUCUUUCACCGGUGAAGAUAAUGACGGUAACCGGAGAAGAAGCCCCGGCUAACUUCGUGCCAGCAGCCGCGGUAUACGAAGGGGGCUAGCGUUGUUCGGAUUUACUGGGCGUAAAGCGCACGUAGGCGGACUAUUAAGUCAGGGGUGAAAUCCCGGGGCUCAACCCCGGAACUGCCUUUGAUACUGGUAGUCUUGAGUUCGAGAGAGGUGAGUGGAAUUCCGAGUGUAGAGGUGAAAUUCGUAGAUAUUCGGAGGAACACCAGUGGCGAAGGCGGCUCACUGGCUCGAUACUGACGCUGAGGUGCGAAAGCGUGGGGAGCAAACAGGAUUAGAAACCCUUGUAGUCCC